AAUGCAAUAACUGGGUCAAAUUGGUUCCAUUUCAAGUUUUCUGAGGAAUCUCCAUACUGCUUUCCAGAGUGGUUGCACCAAUUUACAGUCUUACCAGCAAU
rnacentral:pre_miRNA from 1 species